GUGCUUGCUUCAGCAGCACAUGUACUAGAAAUGUACCCUCCAGAGACCAUCAGUUUGGCCCCAGCACAAUGAUGACACACAAAUUCACAAAGUCCUCCAUCUUUUU
rnacentral:snRNA from 1 species